AAUCAACGCUGGCGGCGUGCCUCAGACAUGCAAGUCGAACGCGAAAGUCCCCUUCGGGGGACAAGUAGAGUGGCGCACGGGUGAGUAACACGUAGGUAAUCUACCUUCGGAUGGGGAAUAACAACCGGAAACGGUUGCUAAUACCGCAUAAUGCAGCGGCACCUAAUGGUGACAGUUGUUAAAGCGGGGGAUCGAAAGACCUCGCGUCUGAAGAGGAGCCUGCGGCGGAUUAGCUAGNGGUAAGGUAAUGGCUUACCAAGGCGACGAUCCGUAGCCGGCCUGAGAGGGCGGUCGGCCACACUGACACUGACAUACGGGUCAGACUCCUACGGGAGGCAGCAGUCGGGAAUUUUGGGCAAUGGGCGAAAGCCUGACCCAGCAACGCCGCGUGAAGGAUGAAAUCCCUCGGGAUGUAAACUUCGCAAGAACGGGAAGAAUAAGUAGGGGACAAUACCCCCUAUGAUGACGGUACCGUUUGUAAGCUCCGGCUAACUCCGUGCCAGCAGCCGCUGUAAG
rnacentral:rRNA from 1 species